rnacentral:lncRNA from 1 species
CAGAGACAUAAAAGGCUGAUUCAAGUUUUUGGCAAACUGUGACUUAGUAGCUAUAAUUCAAUAAUAAGGCUAAAUUGUGGGUGAAAGUCUCCUGAAAACUUGGGCUGACUUUCCAGGAGCUACACCAGGCUCUUACUUCAGUGGCUCCGAGCUGAUAUAACUGGGACACAGGCAAUAAUCUUCUUAAAACCCCUUAAUCUGGUAAGUUUUCUACAGGGUGAUCAUAUUUGAACACAGACUGGAUGAGCAGCUCGCUUAUAUUACUUUGAUAAAAAGCAACUAAAAUAAUGUGCACCGUCUUUAAUUUUGCAGGACAACUUCUAAAUUAUUUGGGAAAACAAAGUGGAAUUGAAAAACAAAACAGCUUUCACCGCUGACCUGGUUCAAAGUCGCGUACUUCAUGCUCUUUCACGGUCAGGCGAACUUGCAAAGAAACAGAAAUCGUGGACAACGGCAGAGUCCGCUGAGAAGGGCCGCAGUGAGCGGAGUCGGCUCUCGGUUGUCAACCGCAGAGGUUUGCUCUUUGCUCCAGAAACACGCGGUGCAGGAGGGAAGAGCCGCCUGUGUCGGGAGAACUAAGGAGCAGGAAGCGGUAGCCCAGGGACGGCACAUGGUACAGCAGCCACCACAGAAACCAGCCCAGGUGCCGGACACCAGCUGUUCAGAAGUGGCCUGUGGUGUGACGCAGCUGACCCUGCGUUUGCUAAAGAAAAGAUGUUUUUCCAACCGGGAUCCACUGGCUGCUAUUUUUGAAGCAGGCUCGCUGGUCUGCUCUCUAUAA